rnacentral:rRNA from 1 species
AACGAACGCUGGCGGCAUGCCUAACACAUGCAAGUCGAACGAGACCUUCGGGUCUGCUGGCGCACUGGGCCGUGACCGGUUGGGACCUGCCCUUAAGUUCGGAAUAACGCCCCGAAAAGCGUGCUAAUACCGGCGCAUAUCUUCCAACCAAAGGGUGAUCGCCUUUGGGUGGUCCGUGGUUGGCUUACCUAGUUGGUAGGGUAAACCCCUACGAAGGCUACGAUGCGUAACUGGUCAGCGAGGAUGGUCAGCGACACUGGGACUGAGAAACGGCCCAGACUCCUACGGGAGGGAGGAGUGGGUGAUAUUGGAAAGUGGGCGAAAGCCUGAUGCAGCAAGGACGGGUGAGUGAUGAAGGCCUUAGGGUUGUAAAGCUAGUUUACACGGGAUGAUAAUGACAGUACCGGGAGAAUAAGCACCGGCUAACUUCGUG